rnacentral:misc_RNA from 1 species
CAGAGUUACAAAACUCCCAAACCCUUGUGAACCUACCUGUACGUCGUUGUGCUUCGGCCGGGUAGCCCCACCACCGGGGCCGUGCCUCCUAGCGAGGUGCCCGCCGGAGGACCACUUUAAAACUCUUGCAAUUUGUGGCCUCUCUGAGUAUUAUAUAAAUAAGUCA